GAUCUGUGAUGAUGAAUUUAUAAGGCUUGUUUCUCAAAACAUUCGCAGUGGCCGCCUAACAUCUUUCGCCUUUCGCCGGGCUUGAGAGAUUAUGCUGUUUUUUAUCCUUCCUUGGAUGUCUGAGAUC